UGCCUCUGCUUCUGGCACCCAGUAAAUAUAGUAGUAACAAUGGUAUUAACCUCAACAGCCUUGAUGACAAAUUUAAGGCCAGAGUAUGAUGGAAUGCAAUGGAAACAAGAGGAUCUCCUAACUUAGACUGGGAAUGCCAGUGCCUCUCUAGAAAAGAUCAUAGACAUUAAGAGCAACUAGGAAGAUAAUUGUUAUAAUGGAAAGCAUCCUGGACCAGGAAUCAUGGAGAGCUUACGUCUAUUUUUAUCUCUGGCUCUAAGCAAGAAGGGCAUGUAUCCUGUAACACUGCUGAGAGACACAGAGCAUGAACAGGGGAGGGGCAAAGAGAGAGG